rnacentral:rRNA from 1 species
GACGAACGCUGGCGGCGUGCCUAAUACAUGCAAGUCGAACGCUGAAGGAGGAGCUUGCUUCUCUGGAUGAGUUGCGAACGGGUGAGUAACGCGUAGGUAACCUGCCUGGUAGCGGGGGAUAACUAUUGGAAACGAUAGCUAAUACCGCAUAAUAGUAGAUGUUGCAUGACAUUUGCUUAAAAGGUGCAAUUGCAUCACUACCAGAUGGACCUGCGUUGUAUUAGCUAGUUGGUGGGGUAACGGCUCACCAAGGCGACGAUACAUAGCCGACCUGAGAGGGGGAUCGGCCACACUGGGACUGAGACACGGCCCAGACUCCUACGGGAGGCAGCAGUAGGGAAUCUUCGGCAAUGGACGGAAGUCUGACCGAGCAACGCCGCGUGAGUGAAGAAGGGUUUCGGAUCGUAAAGCUCUGUUGUAAGAGAAGAACGAGUGUGAGAGUGGAAAGUUCACACUGUGACGGUAUCUUACCAGAAAGGGACGGCUAACUACGUG